CGCCAAGCACGAAUGAUCAAAGUAGUAGUAACGUAAACGUAUCGUGUCUACUAUACUAUAACGCAGUAAAACGUUAGUAGGCAUCACGAAGCACUUUCGUCGUUGUGUAGUAAGUACGAUACAAUUACGAGAGUGACGUCAUCCUAACGUAAGUAGGGAAUGAACUAAUGAACGAAUGAUACGUUCGGAAAUAUAUUAAAGUGGUCUUAUUAACUAAAAUUAUUUAAAUAUUAUUUGAUAUUCUAGUGAAAUCUUAGAGAAAACAAUCAAGAAACAAAAUUGUGUUCCAUAUAUUUGUAAUAAGGUAAGUAAAUUUAAUUUUUAAUGUUGGUUGAUAACAUUUUUAAUAUAUUCUUUUCCAUAUGUUUUAAUUUCUGAACGGUCUACCAGACUGUCAAACACAGUUUGCUUUGGUAAGCAAAUUCAAGUUAUAGGAACUCUUUGAGUAUAUUCUUUGUUUGAAGCUUAAUUUUAAUGUAAAUUUUAAUUUUGAUGAUGACUAGUAGAGUUCAUGGAAAAAAAUGGUGACUAAUCUAAACCUUCCGGAGGUCCAAGAGGACGCUAUGUCAUGCAAAUGAAAUGGAAGGAAUUAGCGGAAAAAUUAAACAGUGAUGGAACAGGCGACUCUCUAUCUAAAAAUAGCGCAAGGUGUGGAGUUAUUUAAAAGAUAACACUAAAAGAAAGCUGGGUAAAAUAAAAAGAGCUGCAAGUGGCACUGGUGGUGGACCGACCUUGAAAACAGGGUCAUGCAAAUAAUUGGAGUGGAGGCAGCUACUGGCACGACGGUGGUGGAAGCUGGCUUUCAGCAGAAUGAAGAUAGUGGAAAAACGCCCAACACCCAGCCAGAAGACAUUAUGAUACCUGGGUAUAUAGAAGAUAACCAAUUUUACUCUGGAUACAACAGCUACAGAAGCCGAACGGAACACCCCAAGCACCAGUAGCCAAUCCACCGUGGUGCCGACCACCUUCCUUCUAAUUUAUCCCGUAAUUAUUUGAUUUAAGCUGUGUGUACGUACAACAUUAAUGAACAAAUAAAGCUACUACAUAAAUACUUACGUUAGUUUUAAUAUCAAAGAAACAAUGAAAAUAAUAGCUUUCCAGCCAUAAAACUAUUUUUGGAUUUGGAUUACAUGUGUAGCCUAUUAAUCUCAUCAACCAACACACUUCUUAUCGUCUUCAGCCUUAAAAAACCUAUUUUUUUCUUCCGACGCAAGUUUUCACACUGAAAAAUUUACCGUGACAAAACAUUCGUAAACUUACGUUAGCCAGCUAUCGCCACUUACUAUUCUAUACGUCAAACAAAGGUUCGUGAUCGCAAAGUUAGUAUAAACAUCAUACGAUACGUUUACGGUACUAUUACGUUACUAUACAAUAGGCAUUUGUGCUGCCAAAUUUAGUUUGUUUUACGUCCGAUAGAGGCGCUCUCAGAUUCUCAUACAAAUUAUUUACGUUAACGAUACUAUUACCUUUACGCAAGUUAUUCGUGCUUG